rnacentral:rRNA from 1 species
GACGAACGCUGGCGGCGUGCUUAACACAUGCAAGUCGAACGGAAAGGCCCUGCUUUUGUGGGGUGCUCGAGUGGCGAACGGGUGAGUAACACGUGAGUAACCUGCCCUUGACUUUGGGAUAACUUCAGGAAACUGGGGCUAAUACCGGAUAGGAGCUCCUGCUGCAUGGUGGUGGUUGGAAAGUUUCGGCGGUUGGGGAUGGACUCGCGGCUUAUCAACUUGUUGGUGGGGUAGUGGCUUACCAAGGCUUUGACGGGUAGCCGGCCUGAGAGGGUGACCGGCCACAUUGGGACUGAGAUACGGCCCAGACUCCUACGGGAGGCAGCAGUGGGGAAUAUUGCACAAUGGGCGGAAGCCUGAUGCAGCAACGCCGCGUGCGGGAUGACGGCCUUCGGGUUGUAAACCGCUUUCGCCUGUGACGAAGCGUGAGUGACGGUAAUGGGUAAAGAAGCACCGGCUAACUACGUGC